rnacentral:lncRNA from 1 species
CUGCCUGUGAGGUGUGUGGGAUGCCGGCUUUGUGAACCAUGGCUGUUUCCCCACUGCAGCCUCCACUUGGUCACUGUUCAGAGCCUUUGAACUGGGUCCAGUGAAUGUUUACCUCGUGCUAAUGUAGAUUUCCCACGUGAUGCACUGGGAUAACGUGAAACCUGCUCAACUUGAGCAGCUCAUUUUGUGCUCCAAAUGGAAAUCUGGAGGAUGGGAGCAAGUGCUUCUCUGGCCAAAGAAAGAGCAAACUCAGCUGAAGAAGAGCCAUCGCUGGGCAUGCCAAAGGGACCAGAACCAUCACCACCUUCCCCUUCGGUCACUGAUGCUCAGUCACACAGAGGUGCUGCCCUGCCCUAGGAUUUUACCAUGCACAGGAAGGCUAAUGACGUCAAACACUAACCAGAACAACUCUCCCUGGUUUGCAGACGGGCACAAUGAAUUGAAUUCCAGAGACUGGUGGAGGGUUUCCUGUUCUACUCCAGUGACCAGAGGACAACCUGGUUCAUUGAACCUCAGGUCUUUGUUGUCAUUGGUACUGCAGAGCUCAUGGGAUUUUCUGUGAAGAAGUGGCUGGAAACCAGGCAG